UACAGAGGGGGCAAGCGUUGUUCGGAAUUACUGGGCGUAAAGGGCGCGUAGGCGGCCUUCUAAGUCGAACGUGAAAUCCCCGGGCUCAACCCGGGAACUGCGUCCGAUACUGGAAGGCUUGAAUUCGGGAGAGGAUAGCGGAAUUCCCAGUGUAGAGGUGAAAUUCGUAGAUAUUGGGAAGAACACCGGUGGCGAAGGCGGCUAUCUGGACCGACAUUGACGCUGAGGCGCGAAAGCGUGGGGAGCAAACAGG
rnacentral:rRNA from 1 species